rnacentral:rRNA from 1 species
AUGAACGCUGGCGGCGUGCCUCAUACAUGCAAGUCGAGCGAACAGACGAGAGUGCUUGCACUCUCUGACGUUAGCGGCGGACGGGUGAGUAACACGUGGGUAACCUACCUAUAAGACUGGGAUAACUUCGGGAAACCGGAGCUAAUACCGGAUAAUAUUUAGCUUCGCAUGAAGCAAUAGUGAAAGACGGUUCUGCUGUCACUUAUAGAUGGACCCGCGGUGUAUUAGCUAGUUGGUGAGGUAACGGCUCACCAAGGCAACGAUACAUAGCCGACCUGAGAGGGUGAUCGGCCACACUGGGACUGAGACACGGCCCAGACUCCUACGGGAGGCAGCAGUAGGGAAUCUUCCGCAAUGGACGAAAGUCUGACGGAGCAAUGCCGCGUGAGUGAAGAAGGUUUUCGGAUCGUAAAACUCUGUUGUAAGGGAAGAACAAGUACGUUAGUAACUGAACGUACCUUGACGGUACCUUACCAGAAAGCCACGGCUAACUACGUG